GGCGAUGUAGCUCAGUUGGUUAGAGCAUACGGCUCAUAUCCGUAGAGUCCGGGGUUCAAUUCCCUGCAUCGCCACCA
rnacentral:tRNA from 1 species